rnacentral:rRNA from 1 species
UACGUAGGGGGCAAGCGUUGUUCGGAGUUACUGGGCGUAAAGGGUGCGUAGGCGGCUAUUUAAGUUUGGUGUGAAAUCUCCCGGCUCAACCGGGAGGGUGCGCCGAAUACUGAGUGGCUAGAGUGCGGGAGAGGAAAGUGGAAUUCCUGGUGUAGCGGUGAAAUGCGUAGAUAUCAGGAGGAACACCGGUGGUGUAAACGGCUUUCUGGACCGUAACUGACGCUGAGGCACGAAAGCGUGGGUAGCGAACAGG